GCCUUCGGGGUGUAACAGUAGCACACUGGGCCCAUAUUCGAGAGGUUCAGGGUUCGAGUCCCGGCGAGGGCA
rnacentral:tRNA from 1 species